CACAACCCUAAGUGUUUCCCGUUUUAUGUCGUGCACAUAGUGGUUUCUACAAAUUCACAACAUUCGUCAGAUGAGGUAACACGUGGAUUCAUUUACUGUUUAUUUUGAUAAUAAUGACAUUUGAUUUUAUGUCAACAAGGUAAGUCAAUAACUAAAGAUAAGCCUAGUGACGGAAAUAAGUUUUCAUAUUAAACUUCAACAGUCAAAUAUUCCUUUCAAUUGCAAGACGAGAAAGCAUGCAACAACAAAAAAGUUACGAAAGAUAAGUCUUCCAUUAUUAACUUAAUAACAGAAAGCCCAUAACAAACAAAUCCCUUUAUACAUGUACCAACGAAUUCUACGGAGACUACUGCUAUAAAUUGCAUUUUGUAGAAGUGUUAAAGGUUUUGUACGCUGCUUAAAAAAUAUUCCCUCGACAUGAAAAUUAAAAAAGUUUCUUGGUGUAAAAGUGUCGAUAAAAAAAGAAUGUUUCCCUUGAAGUCAACGGUUGUCGGAAAUUUAUCAUACAUUUCAUUGCAGUAAAAUGAAAGCUAAGUCACAAACAUAUAUGGUGGGUGUUGCAAAGCACACCUUUUUUUGUUUCUAUAGAAUAUAUAUAUAGGAAAUUUGAGGUCACAUGGUUACUAGAACAUGUACAGAAGAAUUAACUUAUAGUGAUAUUUUUUUUCAUACAAUGAAAUGAUAAGUGUAAAUUUGUCUUCAGUAAAGAACUGGAUACAACUUUGCUUUUUUUGUUGAAAAUGAUAAAUUCUGAACAGUUAUCCGAAUAAAGCAAAUUAAACAAAGGCUUAGAGAGACAUAAAGGCUUAUAAAGACGUAAAUUUUACAUUGAGGUUCUGAAAAAAGAAAUCACCAAUUCACCAACAUUCAAAUGACUCCAUUUUCAGAAAACGACAUCUGUUACAAACAUAAACUUUUGUUAACCCUUUACAAGCAGAACCAAAUACAAUAAAAGUCCCAACUAUGUAGUGGCUUCCGAAGCUACACAAAACACCUUACAAAUAUAUAUUUAUUUCGACUUCAAGCCAUUGUUCCACUACUAAAUUAUCUAUUCUUCUUACCAGAACACUUGGUACAAUCAAAAACCUGAUAAUUAAUUGUUCAAAUAAGGCCAUGAAAAUAGUGGAAUUCAUUACUUUUGGAGUGUCAAAAACUCGUUGGAAGUACUUGAUAAAUUACAUGCUUACAUUGGUGAUUUUGAAUCUGUUCAAAGUUUUUAUUUUUCUACCCUAUAUACCACAUUGCCUCAUAUUAUCAUUAAGAAAACCAAUUACACACCUAAUUAAAUGGGUAUUUAAAGAGUCAGAAUGUGAAUAUAUAUAAUCAAACUCUUUUAGGUCAAUUUUAAGUAGCAAUAAUCAAAAGAACUAUGUCAAUUGGACAUGCUUUGAUACUAUAUCUGCCCUUGAUUUUUAACUCGAUAACAUUUUUGUUCGCUUAUGAGAUUCUGUAUAUCGUCAGGUUAUCAGAAUUCCAAUGGUAACUAACUGUGCACCACUUAUUGUGGGCCUGUUUUUGUAUUGCUAUGAGUUACAAUUUAUGACAAGAAUCGGCAAAGACCCAUCGACACAACAUCUGAUACAAAAAUGUAAUAAUACUUUCAGAUAUUUGGAUGAUAUAUUGGCUCUCAAUAAUGACGACUUCAGUAUGUAUACUAAAGAAAUUUAUCCUGUUCAACUUACUUUAAAUGAAGCUAAUACUAACAAUGACCACUGCCCUUUCCUCGAUCUUGAUAUCUAUAUCAUUAACGGAAAGCCUAAUACUAAAAUUUAUGAUAAAAGAGAUGAUUUUUCAUUUCUUAUAGUUAAUUAUCCAUUUGUAGAUGGUGACGUUCCCUAGUCAUUAUCUUACCGUGUUUAUAUAUCUCAACUUGUACGAUUCGCUCGUGUAUAUGUGUAUGUAACAAUGUUUUAGAUUUUAACGAGAGAAAUUUAUGUAUUACUGAAAAAUUAUCACACCAGGGUUUUCGAUAUCACUGUUGAAGGCCGUACGGUGACCUAUAGUUGUUAAUGUCUGUGUCAUUUUGGUCUUUUGUGGAUAGUUGUCUCAUUGGCAUCCAUACCACAUCUUUUUUUUUAUAGUUAAAACACUAAGAAGGGAUAUAGUUACGAUACUGUUGUCAGUUCAUUAAAGACUGCAUAUUUUGGCGUUUAUAUUGAUUCACUUAUAGGGUCUUUGCAGCGGAACUAAACAAUUUUAUUUAGAAAAAACAGUUGUUGACAUGACACGGGUUGUGUUCUUCUCAUAUAUGUUAUGAUGGUAUGAUACUAAACCCCUAACGAGAGGGAUAGUGCCUGAUAUUCAUAUGAUGAAGACAUAAUCUUUCAAUCAGUUUAAUUGAAGUCUAGAGCUGGCAUGUCAGUUAGUCUUGUUAUUUAUGUAUUAUUAUCAUUUUGUUUAUUUUCUGUUGUUACAUCUUCUGACAUCAGACUCCGACUUCUUUUGAACUGAAUUUUUAUGUGCGUAUUGUUAUGCGUGUACCUUUCUACAUUAGCUAGAGGUAUAGGGGGAGGGUUGAGAUCUUAUCAAUAUGAUUAACCCCGCCGCCUUUUUGCGCCUGUCCCAAGUCAGGAGCCUCUCGCCUUUGUUAGUCUUGUAUUAUUUUAAUUUUAGUUUCUUGUGUAUAAUUUGGAGUUUAGUAUGGCAUUUAUUAUCACUUAACUAGUAUAUAUAUUUGUUUAGGGACCAGCUUAAGGACGCCGCCGAAUGCGGGAAUUUCUCGCUGCAUUGAAGACCAAUUUGUGACCUUCUGCAGUUGUCUGUUCUUUGGUCGGGUUGUUGUCUCUUUGACAAAUGAAAUUUCCAUUCUUAAUUUUAUGCAAUGGUGGUAUAGCUCCUACUCUAUAAAGCUAAACAUGCACUUUUGACCUUAUAUGUAUUCUCAUUUUAAAAAAAAAUAUUGCUUAUUAAGUGACACUUCACAAAAUUAAAAUUUUCUUAGCGAAUUGGGUAUCGAGAAAAAUAUUGUAUGAGAAACAUGCCUUGGAACAUAACUCUCAAAUGAACAUAGAAGACAUAGAAAAAAGAAAAAUAACAAAAGAACCAAACUCCAAGGAAAACUCAAAAUGGGAAUUCCAUAAUGAACUAUCGAAAUCAGAAGCACAAACUUAAAGUUCCUAAUCAAAUAGAAAAACCAAAAGCUCUAAGACAUCAAUAAAUGAACAAAUUUCAUGUUCCUAACUUGUUACAGUCAUUUCUUUCUUUGUUGAACAAGCCAUACCCUGCUUUGAUGAUCUUUUUCGCUUAUUUCUUAUAUUUUAUUAUUUUGACUUACAUCUAGAAAUUGACAAUGAGGGUCGGUUUAAAACAAAACUUUACGCCAGAAGUAAUGAUUUCAGCUUUCCAAUUGUGAACUUCCUAUUUCUAUGUAGCAACAUUCCAACAACACCUUCAUACGGGGUAUAUAUAUCCGAAUUGAUACGAUAUUCCCGUGCUUGUAUUUCUUAUCAUGAUUUUCUUGAUAUAGGGUUGCUGCUCACAAGGAAGUUAGUUUACUAAGAGUUCCAAAUGGUGAAGUUGAAACCAUCCUUCCGUAAAUUUUACGGACGCCAUUACGAGUUGGUGACCGUUAUUGAAUAACCGUUUCACAGAUGAUAUCGGAUAUGUUCCUUACGUCGUAACCACAAUCUGCUUCCCUUUCAUGAAAGUGACAUACCGAAUUAGACUAUUUACCGUAUUUGUUAUAACAUGAGCACCACGACGGGUGCCACUUGUAGAACUGGAUCUGCAUACCCUCCAUGACAGUCUCAUGCUAAAUGAUUACACAUUUGUAUGUGAUGAUCUUUCAUCUGUUUCUGCAAUGUUUACCCUAUGACAUUGAAAAUCUCGUAACUUAUGUCUAUAUCAUGCAACAUUGUAAACGUCUUUUUUAAAAUUCCAGACACUUAUGCAAGUCGUCUUCAAUGGAUGGCCUGAGCAAAGAAUUAGACGCCAAUGAACACAGCUCAGACGAAGACAAUGAUGAUGACCAUCAAGAUAAAUACAUUCCUACAUUUCACUUCGAUAACACUUCUAUGCAAUUAAAAAGAUGUACUAACGAGUCAGACUCUUUACUUGAAAGUACAACAAAAACAGUGUCUCUAACUCAAUCGUGUAAAAAAUGUUGCUGCAUAAAGAGUUGUGUUAUUUUAUGAAUUAACAAACAUUUUGUGUAUUUGUUUUUAUACCAUUGUUUUAUAU
rnacentral:lncRNA from 1 species